GAUGAAGAACGUAGCGAAAUGCGAUAAGUAAUGUGAAUUGCAGAAUUCAGUGAAUCAUCGAAUCUUUGAACGCACAUUGCGCCCGCCAGUAUUCUGGCGAGCAUGCCUGUUCGAGCGUCAUUUCAACCAUCAAGCCCCAGGCUUGUGUUGGAGCCCUGCGGCUGCCGCAGCCUCCCAAAACCAGUGGCGGGCUCGCUAUCACACCGAGUGCAGUAGUUUACUCUUCGCUCAGGGCGUGUGGCGGGUGCUAGCCGUGAAACCCCCAACUUCUCAAGGUUGACCUCGGAUCAGGUAGGAAUACCCGCUGAACUUAAGCAUAUCAAUAAGCAGAGA
rnacentral:misc_RNA from 1 species